ACAAAUAAUAAAAGACAAACAAACAAACAAACAAACAAACAAAAAACCAAACAGGAAAGAACACUUUCUGAUUAUGUCCAUUCAAAGACUUCCUUUAAAUACAUGACUGUGUAGAUAAGAUAUUACUAGUUCUCCUCCAAAACACAGGAUCACAGAAUCAAAGGGUUUGAUAGGGUGAUCUGGAAAACAUCUGGUCCAAUCCCAGUCCAACCUUUAAACCAGUUUCCAUACACUGGGUUGCCAAGGAAAGUGUCCAGGCCAUUUUUCAAAAUCUCUGGAGAAGGAACCUAAAAGCCUCUCUUGGUAGCUUGUUCCAGGGCUCUGUCAACCUCAAAGAAGGGAAGUUCUUUCUCAUGUUCACAUGGGACUUUCUGUUUUACAGUUUGUGCACGUAGCCACUUGUUCCGUUGCUGGACACUACCAAAGACAGCUUGUCCCUAUUGUCUUGACUCCCAUCCCCUCUAAGCCUUCUCCAUGCUGAACAGUCCAGGACACUCAGACCAAGCAUCUUUGUGGGCCUCUCUCUUGCACUCUGUCUAGAAAUUUGCUGUUGUUCUUGAACUGAGCAGCCAAGAAAUGGACACAGUAGUCCACUUGACCUCACCAGGGCAGAGUAGAAUAAGAGCAUAACUUCCCUCAACUUUCUGGCCACACUUCUUUUAUGGUACCCCAAGGAUAUCAUUGACAUUUUUGGCCACAGGGGCACACUGCUGGCUCAUGGUGAACCUGCUGUCCCCUAGAACAUCCACAUCCCUUUUCUCCGAGCUCCUCUCUAGCCUCUAACCUGUAACGAUGCAUACAGUUAUUUCUUCCCAGAUGCAGGACUCACCCUGGUUGAACCUCAUAAGAUUCCUCACAACCCAGCUCUGCAGUCUGUCUGUGUCUCACUAAAUGGCAGCACAGACUUUCAGCAUAUAAGCCACUACUCCCAGCUUCAUAUCAGCAGCAAGCAAGCCCAGACUUAGCACUGAUACUUAGAGAACACUGCUAGCUACAGGCCUUCAACUAGUCUGUGGGCCACACAGCACUUUGAUCUCUUCCUGUCAGCUAAUUCACAAUUCACGUCACUAUCCACUCAUCUAUCCCACACAUCUCAAGCUUAUCUGUGAGGACAUUAUGGGAGACAGCAUCAAAAGCCUUGCAGAAGUCAAGGUCCAAAGCAUCCAAUGUUCUCUCCUCAUCUACCCAGCCAGUUAUGACAUCAUAGAAGGCUACAAGGUUGGUCAAGCAUGAUUUCCCCUUGGUGAAUCCACAGUGACUAUUCCCAAACAUCUUCUCUUCCACUCACCUGGGGAAGACAUUGAGAAUUUCAUAUUAUAGAUAAGAGCAUUUUAUAAAUUCAGCAUAGAUUCAUAGACUGCUCUGGGUUGGAAGGCAGCCCCAAGGCUCAUCAAGUCCAGCUUCCCACAAGUCCAAAAAGUCAAACCCCACACCUGAAAGUAGUGUCCAAACACUUCACGAAGACCAGCAGUUUGAUGACAUGACCACUGUCCUGGAGAGCCUGCUUCUGACCCUCUCCUGGUCCAGUGCCAUGACUCUUCCUCAGGUUCUGUCACUCUCACCAGAGAAAUCAGCACCAGCCUCACUGCUCCCCUUGUAAAGAAGCUCUAGGACACCUCUCCUCAGCCUCAUCUUCUCUGGGCUGAUCUAAUACAAUGACCUCUAUCUAUUUUCAUA